rnacentral:rRNA from 1 species
UGAGGAAUAUUGGGCAAUGCCCGCAAGGGUGACCCAGCAACGCCGCGUGGAGGAUGAAUGUCGUAAGAUUGUAAACUCCUGUUAGAGGGGAAGAAUAGUACCGGUUGGACCGGUAUAUGACUGUACCCUCAGAGAAAGCCCCGGCUAACUACGUGCCAGCAGCCGCGGUAAUACGUAGGGGGCAAGCGUUGUCCGGAUUUACUGGGUGUAAAGGGCGCGCAGGCGGGAUAAAAAGUCAGUGGUGAAAUCCUACAGCUUAACUGUAGAACUGCCUUUGAUACUUUUAUUCUUGAGUUCGGGAGAGAGAGGCGGAAUUCCAGGUGUAGUGGUGAAAUACGUAGAUAUCUGGAAGAACACCAGUUGCGAAGGCGGUCUCUUGGUCCGACACUGACGCUGAGGCGCGAAAGCGUGGGGAGCAAACA